AGGCUUUGCUCUCUGAGGCAGUCAUUCCCACCACACAAAGGCAGUUCUGUGCCUCCCAAAGGUGCUUGGGGCAGGAAAUGAAGAGCGGAAGAGCCCCCCAUCAAUCCAAUAGGAUUGUCGUUUUACGCUGGCGUGGAGCCUCAGACAUCAAAGGGGCUGGAGAGUGAAGCCACAUGUGGGCCGUGAAGCUCUCAUCAGGCCUCUGUGAAAUGGGCAUGGUGAUACUCAUCCAGCCUUCUCCACGGGUGGCCAUAAGAACCAAAGAAGAAAGUGCAGGCGAAGCUCCAAGUGGAAAGCAUAAUGAUUAGGAUGGGAUGGGCCUUCAGGGAAGCCUGCUGGAUGCCAUCCAGGACACACUUGCUCCAGUUGGUGACCCUGAGGCACAGAAAGCUGAGGGAAUUUGUUCGAAGUCACACAGCUGUGGAAAAGCAUUUGGGAGGAAGUGGA
rnacentral:lncRNA from 1 species